rnacentral:rRNA from 1 species
UACGAAGGGGGCGAGCGUUGUUCGGAUUUACUGGGCGUAAAGGGCGCGCAGGCGGUCUUGAAAGUCAGAUGUGAAAGCCCCGGGCUUAACCUGGGAAUUGCAUUUGAUACUCUGGAGCUUGAGUACGGGAGAGGAGAGUGGAAUUCCCAGUGUAGAGGUGAAAUUCGUAGAUAUUGGGAAGAACACCGGUGGCGAAGGCGGCUCACUGGCUCGUAACUGACGCUCAGGCGCGACAGCGUGGGGAUCAAACAGG